UAGGGAAUCUUUCACAAUGGGCGAAAGCCUGAUGGAGCAACGCCGCGUGCAGGAUGAAGGCCUUCGGGUUGUAAACUGCUUUUAUAAGCGAGAAAAUAUAGAUGGUAACUUAUGAAUAAGGAUCGGCUAACUACGUGCC
rnacentral:rRNA from 1 species